UAAAAUAAUUAAGGGCACACAAAGGAUGCCUAGGUAGUAAGAGCCGAUGAAGGACGUGGUAAGCUGCGAUAAGCCUAGAUAAGUUGCAAUCGAACGUAAGAGUCUAGGAUUUCCGAAUGGAGCAAUCUAUUAAGAUGGAGUCUUAAUACGAAAGAGGGAACCGCGUGAACUGAAACAUCUAAGUAACGCGAGGAAAAGAAAGUAAAAACGAUACCCAAAGUAGCGGCGAGCGAAAUGGGUCAAGCCUAAACCUUAAAUAUGUCAAGGAUACAGCCGUUGUAUUUAGGGGGUUGAGGGACAGAGUAGUGAAGAACUGUAAGAUAUUCAAUAUAGUGUAUUGAUGAAUUGGAAUUGUCUGGAAAGGCGAACCGUAGAAGGUGAAAGUCCUGUACAAGUAAAUCCUUACACAUAUAACUCUGCUCCCAAGUAACAUGGAACACGAGGAAUUCUGUGUGAAUCUGUGAGGACCAUAUCUCAUAAGGCUAAAUACUCUUACUAACCGAUAGCGCAUAGUACCGUGAGGGAAAGGUGAAAAGAACCCCUGGAGGGGAGUGAAAUAGAACCUGAAAUUGUGUGCUUACAAGCGGUCAGAGCCAGUGAUGGUGAUGGCGUGCCUUUUGGAGAAUGAUCCUGCGAGUUACGUUAAACGGCGAGGUUAAGUAUAACGGAGCCGAAGGGAAACCAAGUCUUAAUAGGGCGAUUUAGUCGUUUGGCGUAGACGCGAAACCUGGUGAUCUAAACCUGUCCAGGAUGAAGCUGUGGUAAGACACAGUGGAGGUCCUAACCCACCGCCGUUGAAAAGUUGGGGGAUGAGGUAGGUUUAGGGGUGAAAAGCCAAUCGAACCAGGAGAUAGCUCGUUCUCUCCGAAAUGCAUCUAGGUGCAGCCUUGAGUGUUCAAUUAUGGGGGUAGAGCACUGAAUGAUCUAGGGGGCGUAUUGCUUACUGAAAUCAAUCAAACUCCGAAUACCAUAAUUUAGAGCUCAGGAGUGAGACUAUGGGAGUUAACUUCCAUUGUCGAAAGGGAAACAACCCAGACCACCAGCUAAGGUCCCUAAUUAUAACUAAGUGGGAAAGGAGGUGGAGAUUCACAAACAACUAGGAGGUUGGCUUAGAAGCAGCCAUACCUUUAAAGAGUGCGUAAUAGCUCACUAGUCGAGAGUCUCUGCGCCGACAAUGUAACGGGGCUAAGUUAUAAACCGAAGCUGUGGAAUCCGUAAGGAUUGGUAGGAGAGCGUUCUGUAGGCCGUUGAAGGAGAAGGGUAACCGACUCUGGAGGUAUCAGAAGUGAGAAUGCAGGAAUAAGUAGCGAGAAAGGGGGCGAGAAUCCCCCUCGCCGGAAGACCAAGGUUUUCAGGGUAAAGCUUGUCUUCCCUGAGUAAGCCGGGACCUAAGCCCAGGCUAUAAUGCGUAGGCGAAUGGAAAACAGAUUAAUAUUUCUGUGCCAGUCAUAUAUUGUGAUGGAGGGACGCAGAAGGGUAUGCGCGCGGACGAACGGAAGUGUCCGUAGAAGUAUGUAGGAUGACUUGAUAGGUAAAUCCAUUGAGUUAUAUCUGAGGUAUGAUAUACAGUCGUAAGAUGAAUGUGCAAAUCCCACGCUGCCAAGAAAAGCUUCUAACGUUAAUAUUUGACUGCCCGUACUGCAAACCGACACAGGUGGUCAGGAUGAGAAAUCUAAGGCGGACAGGCUAACUCUCGUUAAGGAACUCUGCAAAAUAACCUCGUAACUUCGGGAGAAGAGGAGCCCUUGAGGGUCAGUAUCCACGCGAUACAAAGCGCUCGAGGGUCGCAGUGAAGAGGCUCAAGCAACUGUUUAACAAAAACACAGGUCUAUGCUAAGCUGGAAGGCGAUGUAUAUGGGCUGACACCUGCCCAGUGCUGGAAGGUUAAGAGGAGGAGUGAGAGCUCCGAAUUGAAGCCCCAGUGAACGGCGGCCGUAACUAUAACGGUCCUAAGGUAGCGAAAUUCCUUGUC
rnacentral:rRNA from 1 species